rnacentral:rRNA from 1 species
AGAGAGUGCAAGCGUUAAUCGGAAUUACUGGGCGUAAAGCGCGCGUAGGUGGGAUACUUCAGUCGGGAUGUGAAAGCCCUGGGCUUAACCUAGGAACUGCACCCCGAUACUGGGUAACUAGAGUAUGGUAGAGGGAAGUGGAAUUUCCGGUGUAGCGGUGAAAUGCGUAGAUAUCGGAAGGAACACCAGUGGCGAAGGCGACUUCCUGGACCAAUACUGACACUGAGGCGCGAAAGCGUGGGGAGCAAACAGGAUUAGAGACCCUGGUAGUCCACGCUGUCAACGAUGAGAACUAGACGUUGGAGGGGUAACCCUUCAGUGUCGAAGCUAACGCGUUAAGUUCUCCGCCUGGGGAGUACGGCCGCAAGGUUA